AACCGCACAGAGUGGACUGUCACAAACAGUCCUGGUUGAGGUCCAUGACAGCGCGGCUGCGCUGAGCCUGUGAGCCAGGGCGCAGGGCGACGCCUUGCACCUGCUGAUGGAGGGAGGAAGGCCCGCUCAAAAACCCAACAAGCCCCCGUUAGACUAUGGUAAAGCCAAGUGAUGAAAUACCUUGCAGCCGCUGAAAAUUAUAGCUUGAGGGAAGAGUGGGAGGAUGUGCAUCCCAAAGUCUCUGUUUCUUCAGCUCCAAAUGAGGCUAACCUCACCUCAGAGUUACCAAGGAACGACUUCACCAUUCUUAACUGUCAUCAGUGUAAACACACAAUCUGAUGUUAAAAGGAAUUGCUCUUGUGCCUUGGGAGUGAGUCCUGAGGUCUGCAUAAAUCAGUGUGUGUCAUCCUUUCAAAGGCUGAGAAAUUUCUGUGGUUCCAGCAUUUCCAGGAAAGGCUCAGGGUAUGAAGUGGGGCUGUUGGGAUUAAAAUGGAAAGACAGAGGCAUACUGCUCAUACCCAGGAACCGAGGUCCUAUGUGAGCAAGAAUGAGGGCCCACACACCUUGUGAAGACAAAGGAGCAGUGUGUCCUGGGGAUAUGAACCCAAGUGUGAACCGUCCCUGUUCCCUGCGCGACUGUUCCGACCCACUCCGAUGCCACCAGAACGUUCCUGACCACAGUGCUUGCCAACCACCCUCCUCCUUCCAAGCCUUGGCCAACGUUUCCCGCUCAGAGCCAAAAUACUCGGGUUUGCCCCUCCUCAAGCCAGUGAACGAAUAGGCCACUACCAAACUAUCCCACACACAACGUGUCCCCUAAGUUUCUUAAUGUGCUCUGGGAAACACUGUGGGCCAUUUUCUGGAAUUUAUGCAGCAUUCCUUAAGGGGUCGUUUUGAAGCAACAGGAAAACCUUCGUGAAAUUCUACUAAGGAACUGGGACUGGUCCAAUUUUCCUACACAAAUUUUUACUAGAUGGAAAUCCAGAAGUUUUGGCCUCUUCUAUCCAUCAUAAAAACGCCCUUUGUUUAAACAAAGUCUCCACUGAUGCAUUUUCCAGCACAUAAGGUAAUUUUCAGUGUGGUACAAAACUCACCAGAGUCCUUUAAAACCAGGGGUGAAGGGGCGGGGAGGAGGAAAAAAGCACCUACACAGCAAAAGCCUUUGUGAUCUAUAACUGAGUGCAUACUGCAUUUGCAAUAAUACCGCCCUUCACCGCCUGGGCUGUAACACAGUAACCCCCUAACAGCGCUGACCAGCCCGCAAACAGAACCACGAAACCUGGCCAGGAACUCGAUCUGCAAUAACAAACCCGGCUUGCAGUAAAAGCCAUCUGUACCAGUGCCAAUUAUCCUUCUCCUCAAAUGAUUAGGUUCCAUCUAGUUUUGCUGACAAGCAAGUAAUGCCACAUUUUAAUAGGCAAUAAAAUGUAUUAUUAAAUAAUUAGUAGCUAAGAAACAGAAAUUAGAGGCUACUUCCCUGCACAUGCGUCCCCCAGCACUUCAGUCUAUUGAUGUAAAGCAACUGGAUCCUCCAAAGAGGACGGACUGAAACCUGAUACAGCAGUUUACUGUGAGACAAUUAUGAGGCUAAUGAGUGUUCACAGAGACUGGAGCAGGAAAGAAAUCUAGAAAAUUCCACCUAACCCCAGUUACGUCUGAUCUGUAGCAGGGUCC